rnacentral:rRNA from 1 species
GACGAACGCUGGCGGCGUGCUUAACACAUGCAAGUCGAACGAUGAAGGAGAGCUUGCUCUCCGGAUUAGUGGCGAACGGGUGAGUAACACGUGACUAACCUGCCCCUUUCUCUGGGAUAACGCUCCGAAAGGAGUGCUAAUACCGGAUACGAACUCUGAACACAUGUUCGGAGUUGGAAAGUUUUUCGGAAAGGGAUGGGGUCGCGGCCUAUCAGCUUGUUGGUGAGGUAACGGCUCACCAAGGCGACGACGGGUAGCCGGCCUGAGAGGGCGACCGGCCACACUUGGACUGGUACACGGCCCAGACUCCUACGGGAGGCAGCAGUGGGGAAUAUUGCACAAUGGUCGAAAGCCUGAUGCAGCGGCGCCGCGUGAGGGAUGAAGGUCUUCGGAUUGUAAACCUCUUUCAGUAGGGACGAAGCGAAAGUGACGGUACCUAAAGAAGAAGCACCGGCUAACUACGUGCCAGCAGCCGCCGUAA